CCUACGGGUGGCAGCAGUGAGGAAUAUUGGUCAAUGGCCGGAAGGCUGAACCAGCCAUGCCGCGUGAAGGUCAGUGCCCUAUGGGCGUUAAACUUCUUUUGUGCGGGAGCAAUAAUGGUCACGUGUGGCCAGACGAGAGUACCGUACGAAUAAGCAUCGGCUAACUCCGUGCCAGCAGCCGCGGGAAUACGGGGGAUGCAAGCGUUCUCCGGAUUUAUUGGGUUUAAAGGGUGCGUAGGCUGUGAGGUAAGUCAUCGGUGAAAUGCCCCCGCUCAACGGGGUGAAGUGCCAUUGAUACUGCCUGGCUGGAAUGCGGAUGCGGUGGGAGGAAUGUGUGGUGUAGCGGUGAAAUGCAUAGAUAUCACACAGAACACCGAUUGCGAAGGCAUCUCACGAAUCCGCGAUUGACGCUGAUGCACGAAAGCGUGGGUAUCAAACAGGAUUAGAUACCCCAGUAGUC
rnacentral:rRNA from 1 species